CACACAGAACAUUUGUGACUUGAAGUGCUCUCCUGGAGAAUGUGAGAAUAGACAGCAGCUCUGGAGUGUCUGGAUGCCACUAGCAGGAGGUGCUUUGAGCUUGGACUGACCUGCUGAUGGAAGCUUUGCUGUCCAUGUGCUGUCGCAACACCGACUGUUAUUACAGACGGAGCUCCAGAAUCCAGUGUUGCUGAAGGGAACAAUGAUGUAAUUCCAAGUCGGAACAGUCUAUAACUUGAAGAGGAAUAUGUUGGUGUUAGAAACCCACCUGAUGCUAGUAUGGGCAACUCAGAUUCUGGAGUUAAACCUGGUUGUUAUUUCGUUAA